rnacentral:tRNA from 1 species
GGCGAGUUGGUGUAAUGGUAGCACGCGGCUGCUUUAAUCCCCCAAACUGGCUGGAUAAACACCGCCCCAUCCAAUGGUUCUUCGCGGUGCCUCCAGGGCGGGCUAAAAUAGCUGAAGCGUGAGUUCGAUUCUCACGCACGCCA